rnacentral:tRNA from 2 species
GGGGGUAUAGCUCAAUUGGUGGAGCGCUGCUUUUGCACAGCAGAGGUUAGCGGUUCGAUUCCGCUUAUCUCCA